rnacentral:lncRNA from 1 species
CCUUCCUCCCUCUAAGCUUUCAGACCUUUGACAGAACUACAAAGAUAGGGACCUGCAAGACGAUCAGCCUUAAUUGAUAAGGUUUAAUCUUGCCCGACCUGCUUUGCUCUGUCUUUGUCUUCUCUUUCUUUAAAGUCUAGCAAUAUGUUGUAUACUUCCAGUUAUAUGCAAGUUGUUUCUAGCAAAAUCACGAUGACAAAGCUUUCUCAGUACUUGGAUCCGAUUUAAAUAUAUCUUCAGUGUUUAAAUCAGAUCCAAGUCCUAAGCCCUCGGGCAUGUAAAUCUGAUUAGUUUAAAAGUCCUUGGCCUCAAGGCAUAAAAAAAGAACUUUAUGUGGACUUAACCCAUCC